AUUGAACGCUGGCGGCAGGCUUAACACAUGCAAGUCGAGCGGGGUGAUGGUGCUUGCACUAUCACUUAGCGGCGGACGGGUGAGUAAUGCUUAGGAAUCUGCCUAUUAGUGGGGGACAACAUCUCGAAAGGGAUGCUAAUACCGCAUACGUCCUACGGGAGAAAGCAGGGGAUCACUUGUGACCUUGCGCUAAUAGAUGAGCCUAAGUCGGAUUAGCUAGUUGGUGGGGUAAAGGCCUACCAAGGCGACGAUCUGUAGCGGGUCUGAGAGGAUGUUACGCCAGACUGGGACUGAGACACGGCCCAGACUCCUACGGGAGGCAGCAGUGGGGAAUAUUGGACAAUGGGGGGAACCCUGAUCCAGCCAUGCCGCGUGUGUGAAGAAGGCCCUAUGGUUGUAAAGCACUUUAAGCGAGGAGGAGGCUCUUUUGGUUAAUACCCAAGAUGAGUGGACGUUACUCGCAGAAUAAGCACCGGCUAACUCUGUGCCAGCCGCCGCAGUAA
rnacentral:rRNA from 1 species